GGGGGAAUAUUGCACAAUGGGCGCAAGCCUGAUGCAGCCAUGCCGCGUGUAUGAAGAAGGCCUUCGGGUUGUAAAGUACUUUCAGCGGGGAGGAAUGGAGUAAAGUUAAUACCUUUGCUCAUUGACGUUACUCGCAGAAGAAGCACCGGCUAACUCCGUGCCAGCAGCCGCGGUAAUACGGAGGGUGCAAGCGUUAAUCGGAAUUACUGGGCGUAAAGCGCACGCAGGCGGUUUGUUAAGUCAGAUGUGAGAUCCCCGGGCUCAACCUGGGAACUGCAUCUGAUACUGGCAAGCUUGAGUCUCGUAGAGGGGGGUAGAAUUCCAGGUGUAGCGGUGAAAUGCGUAGAGAUCUGGAGGAAUAACGGUGGCGAAGGCGGCCCCCUGGACGAAGACUGACGCUCAGGUGCGAAAGCGUGGGGAGCAAACAAG
rnacentral:rRNA from 1 species